rnacentral:tRNA from 1 species
GGAGAGGUCGCAUAGUGGUCUAGUGCACCGUCUUGGAAAGGCGGCAGGCUCGAAAGGGUCUCGUGGGUUCAAAUCCCACCCUCUCCG